rnacentral:lncRNA from 1 species
CUUUCUCCAUUAGAAUGUUUCUCGUCAACGACCAUAUCAACCUGUCUGGUGUUCGCACAUGUCAUUUUGGUUGAGGUGUGUGCAAGAUCAUCCCACUCUAAACUAUAAAUUUUCUGUAUAUUUUGGUAGAUCUGAUUUAUCGACGGCGAAGGCAGGCUGACUGUACUACAAGGUGGGGUGCCAUUGUUAUUUUGGUUUUGGCUCAUGAAGUUCAAAUCACUUUUCCUAUGAAAGAAAAUCAAUCUGUGUAUGCAUGAUACUUGUUAAUACUUUAACUGCAGUUUAGGAUACAAAUGUGAUCACAUUAAUCAUUUGUUAAACAGGUUACUGCCAUUCCGCCCCUUCCUCGUGAUGGUAUAGGAGUACACACUAAUUCGAUAAAUAAGAGGCGAAGUUGCCAACGCCUGAGAUAGUGGUUCCUACCUCUGGCCUUCGCACCUUUAGUUCCGCAAGUAGUUCAGCAACUCAAAUGGUAAGAACUUCAGGGUUCUUUUUUCUAUUUCUUUCUUUUCUCUUGGGACUGUAUAUUCUCUGUUUGUAUAUAUUUCCUUUGAUUGAAAUAAAGGACUCUGUGGCUUUUGCUCCACAUAAGGUAGUCAAAAUAAAGUAGUCCCUCUGAUCCAUAUUAGUUCCGCAAGUAUAUGUGGUAGUUUCUGUUAGUUUCUCAUGCUUUUCUACAAAGUGAUAGGUUAAUAAUGUCAUCAACAAUUUUUUCCUUAACUGAUCAAUAUCUUAGAAGUUGUCACUCAUUAGUUUUCUUUUCCUUAUUUAGUAAUGAAUUGUUGUGAUGCAUUUUUUACUUUAAUCCUUGCUACUUCUAAAGCAGCCUUCUUGUGCAGAUCAUUUUGUAUAGAUGUAUAACGGCAUGCCCGUGAUUGCUCUGUAAAAAACCGGCCUAGGAUAUAUGAAUACUUCCAUAUAAACAUAUGCCUCUUCUAUUUUGUAGCUUCUCAUUGUAAGGAACGAUAUAUAUCAUAUUUCAUUAUGUUAUUUCGGUAAAUAAAUUUCCUUUCUGAUUCUUUUUUGUUAAGUAUCCAAGUAAGAGUCUGAUUAGUGGCGGUGAUUUCAGAGCUCGAGGCAGAGAUGGCGGAGCUCGGGCUAGCUCGAGACUAUGGAUCCAGGGCUUGAGUGCUCACGGGAUGGAGGCAGGGGAGGGCGCCCUACGGGAAGUGAUUUAUGUGCUCCUUGAUCUGGCUUUUUAUAACUGAUGACAUCUUACAUUGUUGUCUUUUACCGAUUAACUGGUUAACUCUUUUCCUAAAUGGUCUUAGAUUUCUGCUUUCUAUUUGCGCCAGUUUCUUUUUACAAGAGAUGAGAUCUUACACAAUAUAUUUUUGCCUUGGUUGAUCUAAUUAAAAUUUUCCUUCAGCACGUGCAUAUGAUGUGAAUAUAAAGCUAUUUGGAAGAACAUAUCCAUGGGCGAAAAAAUAUUAUCAUGUAUUUUGUCUGUCAUUUUGCUUGUGUUGAUGUAAUUUAUUGAGCUUUUUCACACGUCAUGAUAUUAUGCCUUAAUUUCUACUAGGCUGCUUUUACAUUUAAAAUUCAUUGUACAAACAUUAUUUACCUAAUUUAUGGAAACAAUAAAUUUGUAGCUUAGGUCAACUAGGAGAUGAUGUAAACCAAGUCACUCACCAGUUUAAGAUGGUAUGUUCUGAACUUUCAUUGCUUUAUGAAUGGACAAAAGAUGUUAGAUAUGCAUGCUACUACAGUUUAGCCAUUUUUCAGUUUUCUACAUGAGCCACAGUGCCGAAGCCUUUGGACAGGCACUUUGUGGUAGAAUGUGUCAAACAUAGGUCUGUUUGCUAGAAUAUGUGUUGUGCCGAUGCUGCAACUAGCAUACGCAAAAUCACUUUGCUAUAUAUUUUUCAUAAUACUACAUUCCAUCAAUUAACUGACUUAUUGUUUUGAAUCUACUUACAUAG